rnacentral:ncRNA from 3 species
AGGCAAGAUGUUGGCAUAGCAGU